rnacentral:rRNA from 1 species
AUUGAACGCUGGCGGAAUGCUUUACACAUGCAAGUCGAGCGGCAGCGCGGGGGCAACCCUGGCGGCGAGCGGCGAACGGGUGAGUAACAUAUCGGAACGUACCCCGUCGUGGGGGAUAACACAGCGAAAGCUGUGCUAAUCCCGCAUACGACCUGAGGGUGAAAGCGGGGGACCGCAAGGCCUCGCGCGAUGGGAGCGGCCGAUAUCGGAUUAGCUUGUUGGCGAGGUAAAGGCUCACCAAGGCGACGAUCCGUAGCUGGUCUGAGAGGACGACCAGCCACACUGGAACUGAGACACGGUCCAGACUCCUACGGGAGGCAGCAGUGGGGAAUUUUGGACAAUGGGGGCAACCCUGAUCCAGCCAUUCCGCGUGAGUGAAGAAGGCCUUCGGGUUGUAAAGCUCUUUCGGCAGGAACGAAACGGCGCGCUCUAACAUAGCGUGUCAAUGACGGUACCUGAAGAAGAAGCACCGGCUAACUACGUGCCAGCCGCCGCCGUAA